GGCAGUGGAGUAGAUGUACGGCCUCUGAGGAGAUGACUGUCAUGGUGGUUAAAAGCACAGCCUCGGGAGCAGUCUGCCUGGCUUCACAUCCCAGCUCUGCCACUUACUAGCUCUGUGACUUUGGGCAAGUAGCUUCAUCUCUCUGAACCUCAAUGUCCUCACCCUUAAAACUGGAUUGACAACAGCAGGAUGAAGAACGG